GCAGAGUGAAAUUUGUAGUUAUUUUUAUCAAUUUAUUAUGAUUAUUCAAUUUAUUAUUUUCAUUAUUUAGAAAAAUUAUUUGAAUCAUGAAUUUGUUGAAUAUUAAUAUAUUUUAGCUACUGUAAGUUAUUUUCUAAGAUAAGUGUAUCACUCAUGUGAAUAUUUUUAACUUUUGCACACUGUAUCUAUAUUUAGAGGGAAUACCCUUUUCCUUGUUUUUUAUUGGUCAGUGUGGUCAAUUGUAAAGAAUUUGGUCAUGUGAUACAUUUGGAGGGAAGUUUUCUAUUGUGUGUUAAAUGUAUAGUUCCUGUGCUGUAGUCUUUGUUGUGUCAUCCAUUUUUUUGUCCAGAAUUUUAUACCUGUUACAGUAAUUGGAAUCUUUUCUCAUUAUCAGAAUUCUCAUGAUCAAAGGAUGUAGACAGUAGAUUACUUAUUGUAAGACGACCUUUACACCUCAUGUGAGGGUCAAUCUGAAUCAUUCUAUCAUCUGUCAUUUCAUCAAUGUAUCCAAAUAAAUGGUGUAAACGUUA